rnacentral:rRNA from 1 species
AGUGAACGCUGGCGGUAGGCUUAACACAUGCAAGUCGACCGGCAGCACAGUAAGAGCUUGCUCUUACGGGUGGCGAGUGGCGGACGGGUGAGGAAUACAUCGGAAUCUACUUUUUCGUGGGGGAUAACGUAGGGGAACUUACUCUAAUACCGCAUCCGACCUACGGGUGAAAGCAGGUGAUCUUCUGACCUUGCGCGAUUGAAUGAGCCGAUGUCGGAUUAGCUAGUUGGCGGGGUACAGGCCCACCAAGUCGACGCUCCGUCGCUGGUCUGAGAGGAUGGUCAGCCACACUGGAACUGAGACACGGGCCAGGGUCAUAGAGGAAGCAGCAGUGGGGAAUAUUGGACAAGGAGUGAAAGCCUGAUCCCGAAAGGCCGAGGGGGUAGAGAAGGCCUUCGGGUUGUAAAGCCCUUUUGUUGGGAAAGAAAAGCAGCAGGUUAAUACCCCGCUGUUCUGACGGUACCCAAAGAAUAAGCAACGGCUAACUUCGUG